UGGCUACCUGGUCGAUCCGCAGACCGUAGACACGAUCAAGAGCGUGAUGAAUUCGACCGCCUCGAUCCGUGCCGUUGCCAAUGUCGUCAAUGUCGAGGCCACCGCCUAUGACGUUCUGAUCGACCAGUCGGACCUUGGUCCGGGCUGGGCGGAUGAAACCACCGCCUCCGCCGAGACCGGCACGCCCACGAUUGACCGUAUCUCGAUCCCGCUGCACGAACUGGCCGCGCUGCCGAAGAUCUCGCAGCGCCUGCUGGAUGACAGCGCCUUUGACGUCGAGAACUGGCUGGCAGGCCGGAUCGCCGAGAAAUUCGCCCGCGCGGAAGCCGCGGCGUUCAUCUCCGGCGACGGCUUGGACAAGCCCACCGGUAUCCUGACCCACACCACAGUGGACAACGGGGUCUGGACCUGGGGCAAUCUGGGCUAUGUGCCCACCGGUGUCGCGGGCGGCGUCGACGCGGAUGCGAUCGUGGACGUGGUCUAUGCGCUGGGCGCGCAGUACCGCGUGAACGGCACCUUCGUGAUGAAUUCGAAAACCGCGGGCGUGAUCCGCAAGCUCAAGGACAGCGACGGCCGCUUCCUGUGGUCGGACGGCCUGGCCGCAGGCGAGCCCGCGCGCCUGAUGGGCUAUCCGGUGCUGAUCGCCGAGGACAUGCCCGAUCCGGGCACCGACAGCUACUCGAUCGCCUUCGGUGACUUCUCGGCCGGCUACACCAUCGCCGAGCGCCCCGACCUGCGCGUGCUGCGCGAUCCGUUCAGCG
rnacentral:rRNA from 1 species